AUGUUGGACAGGAAGAGAAUAUAGCCAGCUAUCUCUCAUUUUGCUUGAGAAAACGGUAGGAAUAUAAAACAUUAUUUUUGUUUUUGAACAUCACACUACGCACACAGGGAUCACAGCUUCACUCAAUAUGCACCACAACAAUAUGAAUCAGUAAUUAUUUCUGUAGAACUGUGAGACAAAAGAGUUUUUAUAAGAUGCAAAUACCUAUUUUAGGAAGACUGAAACUUGGAGCUCUUUUUAAACUCGAGUUACCUUAAGCAGUUACGGCCUUUGACCUUUGUGAUGUUAUUUUGUUCCUUUUAGGAGUUUUGUAUUAUCCUAAAC